GGCAGCACCAAAAUAAGAAGAGAUCUGCAAAUUCGUAAGUUGAAUAUCAAAACCCCUUGUUAUGGGUGUGGGAGCACGGAUAGUCCUUGGGUUUGGUGUGGUCUGUGAGAGCUAUACAGAUCUACGUACACAGAAUCAACCUAUACUAAGCUUGAAGAAGCUCACUGAAUAGAAGAUUGUUUGGAGUGGAAUAGAACUGCACAAGGACCUAAGUGUGAGGAGGGAGCGGCAAGCAAUAAAAAUGAAAUAAAAUGUUAUUGUUUUAGUUAAAUAAAACUAAAUAAAUUUUUCUCCUUCUAAUAAA